rnacentral:rRNA from 1 species
GAUCCUGGCUCAGGAUGAACGCUGGCGGCGUGCUUAACACAUGCAAGUCGAACGGGAAUUAUUUUAUUGAAACUUCGGUCGAUUUAAUUUAAUUCUAGUGGCGGACGGGUGAGUAACGCGUGGGUAACCUACCUUAUACAGGGGGAUAACAGUCAGAAAUGACUGCUAAUACCGCAUAAGCGCACAGGACCGCAUGGUCCGGUGUGAAAAACUCCAGUGGUAUAAGAUGGACCCGCGUUGGAUUAGCUAGUUGGUGAGG